rnacentral:misc_RNA from 1 species
UCCGGGUUGGGCCCGGCGGUCCCGCCAGACAUGGUAACUGGCAGCGAGGGUUGCGCUCGUUGCGGGACUUAACCCAACACCUCACGGCACGAGCUGACGACAGCCGUGCAGCACCUGUGCAGGCUCCCUCGCGGGUCCCCUUGGUUUCCCUCGGGUACCACCUGCAUGUCAAGCCCGGGUAAGGUUCUUCGCGUUGCAUCGAAUUAAACCACACGCUCCGCUGCUUGUGCGGGCCCCCGUCAAUUCCUUUGAGUUUUAGCCUUGCGGCCGUACUCCCCAGGCGGGGUGCUUAAUGCGUUAGCUACGGCACCGCAGGGGUCAAAGCCCGCGACACCUAGCACCCAUCGUUUACGGCGUGGACUA